rnacentral:rRNA from 1 species
UACGAAGGGGGCUAGCGUUGUUCGGAUUUACUGGGCGUAAAGCGCACGUAGGCGGUUUGUUAAGUCAGGGGUGAAAUCCCAGAGCUCAACUCUGGAACUGCCUUUGAUACUGGCAAGCUAGAGUCCGGAAGAGGUAAGUGGAACUCCUAGUGUAGAGGUGGAAUUCGUAGAUAUUAGGAAGAACACCAGUGGCGAAGGCGGCUUACUGGUCCGGAACUAACGCUGAGGUGCGAAAGCGUGGGGAGCAAACAGG